GAUGAACGCUGGCGGCGUGCCUAAUACAUGCAAGUCGAGCGAACAGACCAUGAUCUUGCUCCUCUGUCGUUUGCGGCUGACGUGUGUGUAACACGUGUAUAACCUACCUAUAUUUCUGGUAUAACUUCGGGAAUCCGGAUCUAAUACCGUAUAAUAUAUUGAUCCGUAUGGUUCAUUAGUGAAAUUCGGUUUUUCUGUCUCUUCUAGAUGCUUCCGCGCCGCAUUAUCUAGUUGUUAAGGUAACGGCUUAUCAAGGCAACGAUGCGUAUCCGACGUGAGAGGGGGAUAGGCAACACUGGAACUGAGACACGGACCAGACUCCUACGGGAGGCAGCAGAAGGGAAUCUUCCGCAAUGGGCGAAAGCUUGACGGAGCAACGCCGAGUGAGUGAUGAAGGUCUUCGGAUCGUAAAACUCUGUUAUUAGGGAAGAACAAAUGUGUAAGUAAAUAUGCACGUAUUGACGGUAACUAAUCAGAAAGCAACGGCUAACUACGUG
rnacentral:rRNA from 1 species